CGGGUCGUAAAGCUCUGUUGUUAGGGAAGAACAAGUACCGUUCGAAUAGGGCGGUACCUUGACGGUACCUAACCAGAAAGCCACGGCUAACUACGUGCCAGCAGCCGCGGUAAUACGUAGGUGGCAAGCGUUGUCCGGAAUUAUUGGGCGUAAAGCGCGCGCAGGCGGUCUUUUAAGUCUGAUGUGAAAGCCCACGGCUCAACCGUGGAGGGUCAUUGGAAACUGGAGGACUUGAGUGCAGAAGAGGAGAGUGGAAUUCCACGUGUAG
rnacentral:rRNA from 1 species